AAAUGGCGGCCAGACAGGAUACAAUGGGGGCAAGGGUGUUGAUUCAGGGUUCAGGAGAGGCCUCACCAUAUAAGGGAUGGAGGGAAACCCCAGGUGACAGGCUCCAGCCCCCUGGACAUUCCCGUGCUUCUCCUGGCACAGUCUGCAGCAUGCUUAAAGCAGUAGCAUUGGGAUUUUCAUCACACUGGGGCCAACCCAGGGCUCAGGAGCUAAUCGGCCGUGCAGCUUGUGACCCUUGGAGAAAGGCCAUAUUUUGGCCAAACAGCAUUUCCUGUAGCUGUGGACUGGGUGGUGGGGGGAGAGGUGGGAGAAGAGAGAAAUGCUGCUCUGCCCUCUGCUGGAGUUAUCUGAGCGGAAACCCUUUGAGCCCCAUUCUUUGGGAGUGAAGGAACCUUUGAGACGUUGCCUGGCCAUUGUGGAAUCUUGGCACUGGGCUUGGAGAAGACAAUGACCAGAACUCAGAAUGGUUUUGACAUGUCUCAGCUCUUGUGCUGACAAUGGGUAGUCUGCAUGUGGAUCACAAGAACAUGGGGGCAGAACGGAAGAUGCCUGAUCCAAGUCUUCCUGAAGACCCAUCUUCCCCAUUCUCAAGGAGCUGUGUGAUGGGAUGUGAAGGGAUUAUUGUUCCUGUGCCCUGUCUAGUCCUUAUCCUAAGUUUCAGCUGUAUGCACCUUCUGGGUUCUGCCUUCUGGGUCCCACUGGGAUCCCUAAAUCACAAAAUACUGUCAGUCAUCAAAAGGAAAUAAGCACGGACUGUUGACUGCAUUUGGUUUCAAACCAAGUAGAUGUUUCUCAAGGUCAUUGCCAGUCUCUGGUCUGCCACGGCACCGUCUUGCCAGCAUACGUGGGCAGUUCCCUACACACCGGCUGCCUCUGGCCUGUUCUUCCAUUGCUUAUAGGGCUUCAAUGCAAUAAAUAAAGAGAAUAAAUAAGCCUCUGCUGA